rnacentral:rRNA from 1 species
AUUGAACGCUGGCGGCAGGCUUAACACAUGCAAGUCGAGCGAGCGGCGGACGGGUGAGUAAUGUCGGGGAAACUGCCUGAUGGAGGGGGCAAACUACUGGAAACGGUAGCUACUACCGCAUACCAUCAGAUGUGCCCAGGGGGGAUUAGCUAGUAGGUGGGGUAAAGGCUCACCUAGGCGACGAUCCCUAGCUGGUCUGAGAGGAAGACCAGCCACACUGGGACUGAGACACGGCCCAGACUCCUACGGGAGGCAGCAGUGGGGAAUAUUGCACAAUGGGCGCAAGCCUGAUGCAGCCAUGCCGCGUGUGUGAAGAAGGCCUUAGGGUUGUAAAGCACUUUCAGCGAGGAGGCGUUACUCGCAGAAGAAGCACCGGCUAACUCCGUGCCAGCAGCCGCGGUAAUAC